AUUAUUUUGGCAGAUUAGUGUGUUAGAUUUAGAGUCUUAAAAAUGUAAUUUAUUUACAAAUAAUACUUGUAUAU
rnacentral:tRNA from 1 species